rnacentral:tRNA from 1 species
GCCCGGGUGGCGAAAUUGGUAGACGCAGGGGAUUCAAAAUCCCCCGGCCGCGAGGCCGUGUCGGUUCGAGUCCGACCCCGGGCACCA